rnacentral:rRNA from 1 species
UACGAACUGUGCGAACGUUAUUCGGAAUCACUGGGCUUACAGGGUGCGUAGGCGGCUUGUUAAGUAGGGUGUGAAAGCCCCCGGCUCAACCGGGGAAUUGCGCCCUAAACUGGCGAGCUGGAGUGAGAUAGGGGUGUGUGGAACUUCCGGUGGAGCGGUGAAAUGUGUUGAUAUCGGAAGGAACGCCGGUGGCGAAAGCGACACACUGGAUCUUGUCUGACGGCUGAGGCACGAAAGCCAGGGGAGCGAACGGG